GACGAACCGUGCGAACGUUGUUCGGAAUCACUGGGCUUAAAGGGCGCGUAGGCGGGUCAUAAAGUCAGGGGUGAAAUCCUCCAGCUUAACUGGAGAACUGCCUUUGAUACUGAUGGUCUCGAGUAAGGUAGGGGCAUGCGGAACUGAUGGUGGAGCGGUGAAAUGUGUUGAUAUCAUCAGGAACUCCGGUGGCGAAGGCGGCAUGCUGGACCUUCACUGACGCUGAGGCGCGAAAGCUAGGGGAGCAAACAGG
rnacentral:rRNA from 1 species